AGGGAAUUGAAACAUCUUAGUACCUUCAGGAAUAGAAAUCAAUAGAGAUUUCCAAAGUAGCGGCGAGCGAAAUGGAAAUAGCCUAAACUUGGACUGUGUCAAGCCUACAAGCGUUGCAGUCUGAGGGUUGUGGGACGAUUUUGGAUGAGAUUGUAGUCUCGUCGGGAAGUCAAAAAUCCAAUUGCUAAUUAAAGGACCUGGAAAGGUCUGCCAUAGAGGGUGAUAGCCCCGUAAAUGAAAGCAUUUGGACUUCCUGGAAAUUGUUCCCGAGUAGGGCGGAACACGUGAAAUUCCGUUUGAAUCUGGGUCGACCAUGAUCCAAGGCUAAAUACUCUCUUGUGACCGACAGUGAACUAGUACCGUGAGGGAAAGGUGAAAAGUACUUCUGGCGAAGAGUGAAAUAGAACCUGAAACCGUAUGUCUACAAGCGGUCGAACCGGAAUUUAGUUCCGGAACGGCGUGCCUUUUGCAUAAUGAGCCUGGGAGUUACUCCUAUGUUGCAAGGUUAAGGAAGAUAUCCGGAGCCGUAGCGAAAGCGAGUCUUAAUAGGGCGAUUAGUAACAUGGGGUAGACCCGAAGCUGAGUGAGCUUACCAUGGUCAGGAUGAAGCUGUAGUAAAAUACAGUGGAGGUCCGAACCAGGAUGGGUUGAAAACCGUUUGGAUGAACUGUGGUAAGGGGUGAAAGGCCAAUCAAACUCAGCGAUAUCUGGUUCUCUUCGAAAUAGCUUUAGGGCUAGCGUCGGUACCGAGUGUUACGGGGGUAGAGCACUGAAUGGGCUAGGGGUCCCACAAGAUUACCAAACCCAAUCAAACUCCGAAUACCGUAACAUGCUUACCGGCAGUCAGGCAGUGGGGGAUAAGCUUCAUUGCCGAAAGGGAAACAGCCCAGACCGUCAGCUAAGGUCCCUAAAUCUGUGCUAAGUGAUAAAGGAUGUGAAAUUGCUAAAACAGCUAGGAGGUUGGCUUAGAAGCAGCCACCCUUGAAAGAGUGCGUAACAGCUCACUAGUCGAGGAAUUUUGCGCCGAUAAUCGUCGGGACUAUAAGCACAGUACCGAAGCUUUGGAUUUUGAAUUUAUUCAAAGUGGUAGAAGAGCGUUCUGUUAACCGUUGAAGGCAUACCGGAAGGAUUGCUGGAGGACACAGAAAUGAUUAUCCAGGCACGAGUAGCGAUAAACCAGGUGAGAUUCCUGGUCACCGAAAGCCUAAGGUUUCCUGAGUAAAGCAACUCUGCUCAGGGUUAGUCGGACCCUAAGGCGAGGCCGAAAGGCGUAGUCGAUGGGAAACGGGUUUAAUAUUCCCGUACCACUUAUAUAGCGUUUGAGCUAUGGGGAACACAGAAGUGAAAGUUCAGCCAGCGAUUGAAAGUGCUGGUUUAAGGCCGUAGGGCGAUCCGAUAGGCAAAUCCGUUGGAUCAUUAAACCUGAGAGCUGAAUAGGAGGGCCUAGCCCAUAAACUGAACCUAAUCCCGCUGUCAAGAAAACCCUCUAUGUUAGUUAUAUAGGUGACCGUACCGCAAACCAACACAGGUAGGCGAGAUGAGUAUUCUAAGGUGCGCGAGAGAACUCUGGUUAAGGAACUCGGCAAAUUAACUCCGUAACUUCGGGAGAAGGAGUGCCUGCCGAUGAUAUCUCUUUACGAGAAAAGAUAGGUAGGCCGCAGUGAAAUGGCCCAAGCGACUGUUUACCAAAAACACAGGUCUCUGCUAAGUCGUAAGACGAAAUAUAGGGACUGACACCUGCCCGGUGCUGGAAGGUUAAUAGGAGCGCUUAGACUUCGGUCGAAGGUGUGAAUUGAAGCCCCAGUAAACGGCGGCCGUAACUAUAACGGUCCUAAGGUAGCGAAAUUCCUUGUCGGGUAAGUUCCGACCUGCACGAAUGGUGUAACGAUUUGGGCACUGUCUCGACCAGAGACUCGGCGAAAAUGAAGUGUCGGUGAAGAUGCCGGCUACCCGCGGCAGGACGGAAAGACCCCGUGAACCUUUACUACAGCUUGACAUUGGGUUUUGGUUUUUAUUGUAGAGAAUAGAUGGGAGGCUUUGAAGCAGUGACGCCAGUUGUUGUGGAGCCGUCUUUGGAAUACCAUCCUAUAAUUGCUGAAAUUCUAACCAGGUACCUUGAAUCAGGUACUGGGACAUUGUCUGGUGGGUAGUUUGACUGGGGCGGUCUCCUCCUAAACAGUAACGGAGGAGCGCAAUGGUUCCCUCAGCACGGUCGGUAAUCGUGCGUAGAGUGUAAACGCAUAAGGGAGCUUGACUGCGAGACAUACAGGUCGAGCAGGUGCGAAAGCAGGUGUUAGUGAUCCGGUGGUUCCGAGUGGAAGGGCCAUCGCUCAACGGAUAAAAGGUAC
rnacentral:rRNA from 1 species